CGAGAAAGCCCGCAAGGGUGAGUAAAGCGGCGCACGGGUGCGUAACACGUGGGUAAUCUGCCCUGAAGUCCGGAAUAACUCGCCGAAAGGCGUGCUAAUGCCGGAUGAGACCACGGGAGCCUCGGCUCCUGCGGGAAAAGGUGGCCUCUGUAUACAAGCUAUCGCUUCAGGAUGAGCCCGCGGCCCAUCAGCUCGUUGGCGGGGUAAUGGCCCACCAAGGCUACGACGGGUAGCUGGUCUGAGAGGACGAUCAGCCACACUGGAACUGAGACACGGUCCAGACUCCUACGGGAGGCAACAGUGGGGAAUCUUGCGCAAUGGGCGAAAGCCUGACGCAGCAACGCCGCGUGUGUGAUGAAGGUCUUCGGAUCGUAAAGCACUGUCGCGAGGGACG
rnacentral:rRNA from 1 species